GACUCCAUAGUACAGUCGGUCAGUAUGGCGGGUUGUCAGCCCGCAGACCUGGGUUCAAGUCCCGGUGGAGCCGCCA
rnacentral:tRNA from 1 species